UACGGGGGGGGCAAGCGUUGUUCGGAAUUACUGGGCGUAAAGGGCGCGUAGGCGGCCCUCUAAGUCAGACGUGAAAUCCCUCGGCUCAACCGGGGAACUGCGUCUGAUACUGGAGGGCUUGAAUGUGGCAGAGGAGCAUGGAAUUCCUGGUGUAGCGGUGAAAUGCGUAGAGAUCAGGAGGAAUACCGAUGGCGAAGGCAGUGCUCUGGGCUAACAUUGACGCUGAGGUGCGAAAGCUAGGUUAGCGAACGGG
rnacentral:rRNA from 1 species